GACGAACGCUGGCGGCGUGCUUAACACAUGCAAGUCGAACGAUGAAGCCUUAGCUUGCUUUGGUGGAUUAGUGGCGAACGGGUGAGUAACACGUGAGCAACGUGCCCAGGACUCUGGAAUAACCGCGGGAAACCGUGGCUAAUACCGGAUAGGUGCCGAGGCCGCAUGGUCUUCGGUUGGAAAGUUUUUGCGGUUCUGGAUCGGCUCACGGCCUAUCAGCUUGUUGGUGGGGUAAUGGCCUACCAAGGCGACGACGGGUAGUCGGCCUGAGAGGGUGACCGGCCACACUGGGACUGAGACACGGCCCAGACUCCUACGGGAGGCAGCAGUGGGGAAUAUUGCACAAUGGGCGCAAGCCUGAUGCAGCAACGCCGCGUGGGGGAUGACGGCCUUCGGGUUGUAAACCUCUUUUAGUAGGGAAGAAGCGCAAGUGACGGUACCUGCAGAAAAAGCACCGGCUAACUACGUG
rnacentral:rRNA from 1 species